rnacentral:rRNA from 1 species
AGUGGCAGACGGGUGAGUAACGCGUAGGUAAUGUACCUCUUCGCUGGGGAUACCUAUCCGAAAGGAUAGCUAAUACCGAAUGAACUUAUCGAACGGCAUCGUUUGAUUCGUAAACCUCCGGGGCGAAGAGAUCAGCUUGCGUACUAUCAGCUAGUAGGUGGGGUAACGGCCUACCUAGGCUACGACGGUUAGCCGGUCUGAGAGGAUGAUUGGCCACAUUGGAACUGAAACACGGUCCAGACUCCUACGGGAGGCAGCAGUGAGGAAUCUUGCGCAAUGGGCGAAAGCCUGACCCAGCAACGCCGCGUGAGGGAAGAAGGUUUUCGGAUUGUAAACCUCUGUCCUCAGGGACGAAGGAAGUGACGGUACCUGAGGAGGAAGCCCCGGCUAACUACGUGCCAGCAGCCGCGGUAAUACGUAGGGGGCAAGCGUUGUCCGGAAUGACUGGGCGUAAAGGGCGUGUAGGCGGCCUGAUAAGUAUGAAGUGAAAGUCCUGCUUUCAAGGUGGGAAUUGCUUUGUAGACUGUCGGGCUUGAGUGCGGAAGAGGUAAGUGGAAUUCCCAGUGUAGCGGUGAAAUGCGUAGAGAUUGGGAGGAACACCAGUGGCGAAGGCGACUUACUGGGCCGUAACUGACGCUGAGGCGCGAAAGCGUGGGGAGCGAACAGGAUUAGAUACCCUGGUAGUCCACGCUGUAAACGAUGAAUGCUAGGUGUAGGGGGUAUCGACCCCUCCUGUGCCGGAGUAAACGCAAUAAGCAUUCCGCCUGGGGAGUACGGCCGCAAGGUUGAAACUCAAAGGAAUUGACGGGGGCCCGCACAAGCAGCGGAGCAUGUUGUUUAAUUCGAUGCAACGCGAAGAACCUUACCAGGUCUUGACAUCGAUGCAAAGUACUAGAGAUAGUAUGUGCCUUCGGGCAGCAGAAGACAGGUGGUGCAUGGUUGUCGUCAGCUCGUGUCGUGAGAUGUUGGGUUAAGUCCCGCAACGAGCGCAACCCCUGCCAUUAGUUGCUACGCAAGAGCACUCUAAUGGGACCGCUACCGACAAGGUGGAGGAAGGUGGGGACGACGUCAAAUCAUCAUGCCCCUUAUGACCUGGGCUACACACGUAAUACAAUGGCCGUUAACAGAGGGAAGCAAAACCGCGAGGCAGAGCAAAACCCUAAAAACGGUCCCAGUUCGGAUCGCAGGCUGCAACCCGCCUGCGUGAAGUUGGAAUUGCUAGUAAUCGCGGAUCAGCAUGCCGCGGUGAAUACGUUCCCGGGCCUUGCACUCACCGCCCGUCA